rnacentral:tRNA from 1 species
GGGGAUAUAGCUCAGUUGGUAGAGUACUUGCCUUGCAUGCACAAGGCCCUGGGUUCAAUCCAGUAUCACAC